rfam:Flavobacterium subsaxonicum WB 4.1-42 = DSM 21790 strain WB 4.1-42 contig8, whole genome shotgun sequence.
AUUGAGUGGAGCAGGAACCACUUUAAUAAACGGGGCGUCUUUUUCCGAAAAGCCUUACGAGUAGGAAAACA